rnacentral:rRNA from 1 species
UGGGGAAUAUUGGACAAUGGGGGGCAACCCUGAUCCAGCCAUGCCGCGUGAGUGAUGAAGGCCCUAGGGUUGUAAAGCUCUUUUGUGCGGGAAGAUAAUGACGGUACCGCAAGAAUAAGCCCCGGCUAACUUCGUGCCAGCAGCCGCGGUAAUACGAAGGGGGCUAGCGUUGCUCGGAAUCACUGGGCGUAAAGGGUGCGUAGGCGGGUUUCUAAGUCAGAGGUGAAAGCCUGGAGCUCAACUCCAGAACUGCCUUUGAUACUGGAAAGUCUUGAGUAUGGCAGAGGUGAGUGGAACUGCGAGUGUAGAGGUGAAAUUCGUAGAUAUUCGCAAGAACACCAGUGGCGAAGGCGGCUCACUGGGCCAUUACUGACGCUGAGGCACGAAAGCGUGGGGAGCAAAACAGGAUUAGAUACCCUGGUAGUCCACGCCGUAAACGAUGAAUGCCAGCCGUUAGUGGGUUUUACUCACUAGUGGCGCAGCUAACGCUUUAAGCAUUCCGCCUGGGGAGUACGGUCGCAAGAUU